UACGUAGGUGGCAAGCGUUGUCCGGAUUUAUUGGGUUUAAAGGGUGCGUAGGCGGUCUUAUAAGUCAGUGCUGAAAUAUCCCAGCUUAACUGGGAGGGUGGCAUUGAUACUGUAGGACUUGAGUAAAGUUGAGGUAGGCGGAAUUGACGGUGUAGCGGUGAAAUGCUUAGAUAUCGUCAAGAACACCGAUAGUGAAGACAGCUUACUAAACUUUAACUGACGCUGAGGCACGAAAGUGUGGGGAUCAAACAGG
rnacentral:rRNA from 1 species